CCGCAUACGUCCUACGGGAGAAAGCAGGGGAUCUUCGGACCUUGCGCUAAUAGAUGAGCCUAAGUCGGAUUAGCUAGUUGGUGGGGUAAAGGCCUACCAAGGCGACGAUCUGUAGCGGGUCUGAGAGGAUGAUCCGCCACACUGGGACUGAGACACGGCCCAGACUCCUACGGGAGGCAGCAGUGGGGAAUAUUGGACAAUGGGCGGAAGCCUGAUCCAGCCAUGCCGCGUGUGUGAAGAAGGCCUUAUGGUUGUAAAGCACUUUAAGCGAGGAGGAGGCUACUUUAGUUAAUACCUAGAGAUAGUGGACGUUACUCGCAGAAUAAGCACCGGCUAACUCUGUGCCAGCAGCCGCGGUAAUACAGAGGGUGCAAGCGUUAAUCGGAUUUACUGGGCGUAAAGCGCGCGUAGGCGGCUAAUUAAGUCAAAUGUGAAAUCCCCGAGCUUAACUUGGGAAUUGCAUUCGAUACUGGUUAGCUAGAGUGUGGGAGAGGAUGGUAGAAUUCCAGGUGUAGCGGUGAAAUGCGUAGAGAUCUGGAGGAAUACCGAUGGCGAAGGCAGCCAUCUGGCCUAACACUGACGCUGAGGUGCGAAAGCAUGGGGAGCAAACAGGAUUAGAUACCCUGGUAGUCCAUGCCGUAAACGAUGUCUACUAGCCGUUGGGGCCUUUGAGGCUUU
rnacentral:rRNA from 1 species